UGAUUUGUGGACUGUUUUGGGGUGUGAUUUCGUGUUCCCUUGUUAGUUCCGUAUUAGCUUGUGACCUCUAUUGCACUUCGGAGGGGUGCCUGCCUAAGGUCGGCCCAAGUGGUCGAGCUUAUGUCAUAAUUUGUGGUAAAGGGGGCCUGCAUUCGCGCGGCUCCUAU